UUCCCAGCGCGCCGGGCCCGCUGGGUAACGCCGCCGCCCCAAACAAAGGCGCGCGUGGCGCAUGCGCGCUGCGCUCCUCUCGCCCCCUCCUCACCCCCGCCCCUCGGCGCCGCCUGAGGAACACUGAGGGGAGCGGAGGCCGGGGGGGGCCUCGGGGCGCUGGGAGUGCGGGUCCCAGCACGGCUCGGGCUGGAGGGGACCGCAAGGGUCACCCAGUUCCAGCCCCCUGCCUCAGGCGGGGAUGCUGCCCACUAGGCGAGGUUGCUCAGAGCCUCGUCUAGCCUGGUCCUGAACACCGCCAGGGAUGGGGCGUCCACAGCUCCUCUGGGCAGCCUGUGCCUCACCGCCCUCUGAGUGAAAAACUUCCUCCUAAUCUCUAAUCUAAAUCUCUUUUAGUUAAAAACCACUCCCCCUCAUCCUGUCAAUAUCCGAUUGAGCAAAGAGUCCCUUUACAUCUUUUUUACAAGACCCCUUCAAAUACUGAAAGGUUGCCAUGAGGUCACCCCAGAGCCUUCUCUCCUGCAGGCUGAACGCCCCCAGCUCCCCCAGCCUUUCUUCACAGGAGAGGUCUCCCUCCCCUUGAUCAUCUUCGUGGCCCUCCUCCGGACCCGCUCAAACAGCCCCACGUCCUUGCGCUGGAGGGUUUGCCAAGGAGCAGGGGAUGUGCGGUGUGCCGUGGGGCUGCGUGGUGGUGGGGUGAGGCGGCUCCGCACCUCUCCUGCCUGUGGAGGAGCCCGGGGUUGUUGCAGGGAGGGCUUUCUGGAAGGGUUUCGUUGGGUGUGAGACAAGGCUGGGAAGCCAGGCUCUCUUCAGUUGUGCCUGGGGCCAGGAUGAGAGGCACUGGGCACAAACUGGAGUGCAGGAGGUGCCCUCUGAAUGUCAGGAAGUGCUUUUCUUACUGUGCGGGUGACAGAGCUGCCCAGAGAGGUUGUGGAGUCUCCCUCUUAGGAGAUCUUCAAACCCCACCUGGAUAUGGCCCUGGGCAAUUUGUUCCAGGUGUCCCUGCUUGAGCAGGGGUUGGUGCAGAUAGACCCAGAGGUGCCUCCAGCCUCAACCACUGUGUGCGAUUCUGUGAAGUAAUUGGGCCCAGGUGGUGUCUCUGCAGACCCCGCCACUGGCUGAGCUGUGCGGUACCCUGCUUAGAAUAUGAAGAUGCUCCUUCAGACGUGGUCUGAGGACGUACAGACCUACAGAUGAGUAGGAGCUAGAAGCAGGACAAGAGGAAUGUGGAUACCAGUGGGCUGAGCUGCCCAAUGCAGGGCUCUGCGGGCUCUCAUGAUGAGCAGCAUCUCCUAAGGGAACGGCAGUGCCAGCCAUUUGGGCAAAGACCCGGAGCCUGGUGAGCAAGCUGCAGGCUUCGGUGGGCUCAGAAAGCGGGCAGCCUUCUGGAAGGGAAGUUCUUCAGGCCUUUGAGACACAAGUUGGAGAACAUCUUGGGAAACCUCACACCUACUCGCCUGCCCCCAUGCCUCCUUGUCCUCAUCUGCGGGCUCGUAGCCUGCGGGGUCUGACAGGCAGCGCUCGGUCGGGGCUUCCUGAUUCCCAGAGCCGCCGCAGCGCGUGUGUUGGUUUGUCAGGAAGUGACCAGCUGUUGUGCAGGGAGCUGGCCUCCCGCCAGGGCCCGAGUUCAAACGGAGCCCAUUAAAUGGCCUCGCAGCCGUAAUUCUAUUUAUAAUACCCAGGAAAAGCGAGCUGAGACUUUCCCACAGUGCCUGCUUCUCAGGCGAUUGUUGUUCGGGAAGCUGGAAUGUACACGAUAUUAUUUUUGUAUCCCCCGGGAAGGGUUUUAUUGCGCGUCCCUUCAUGUCCCCAUCUGCGCCAAGGAAGGUUUGCCGAGCACGAGGUCUCUCGCUGCUGCUUGCAGCUCUCCAAACGCUUUGCUGAGACGGUUCGUGUGUCUCUGCCUGCAUAUGCCUGUGUCCGUAGCAUGCCCACGUCUGUAAUUCCCACACCUCUGGAUGUUUUGCAGAGCAGAGACAUGCUGCUUGGACUCUUAUCCCAGCCUCACUCCCGAGGCACUUGGCGCCUGCCAGCGGUUUUUGUGGCACUUGUGGCUUUUCCCUUCGCCUGCUCUGGAAAGCUAGGCACCGCUGCUGUCCUUAGGGUGUUUCUGCUGUCCCUUGUUUGCCGUCCUUGCCAAACAGCUGUGAGGCUCUGCAGGGCACCAGCACCCUUCUCCCUGGUGAGCUGUCAACCUUCUUUCCAUUUUUACUUCUCAAAUAAAAGCCAGUUGCUGGCAGCUUCCCAGGUCCCAAAGCGCAUUAUUUUAGCACAACAUCCUGCAUGGCACUCCAGCAGAGCUCUGGCUGGUUCUCCUGUAUCUUCUCCCGGCUUGGGAACGCUUCUUGUGCUGCAAGCAGUCCAAGGUAGGGCUGAAUAGCCUUGCUGUUCGUCAUGCCGGUUUUAGGAUCAGUUAUCCCAGAUUCCAGAUGUGGAACGGACGGGAUCUGAGGGGCUGGCAGGCAGGUAGCACCAGCCUCGUGGAGCUGCCUGAGCCAGAAGACACUAGGUGGAGACAGGCGAGGAGAAGAGGACAGGAGGACAGCUGCUUGGUCACAGCCUUCUUGCACGUGGGGCUGACAGCAGAGACGCUACCCAGAUGUUGGGGCCUGAGGACAGCGGGUCCCUGCGGGACGGGCCAUCCCUCGAACAUUCGCUCUGUGCUCUUCCUUGGCAGCAAUCCCAGCUGCGCUGUCCUCGAGUUUGUGUGAGAAACGUCCAGGAGCGCGUUCACCCUCUCUGACCGGCUCCAUGGCAAUGCAGUCACCGGGUCUCCUGCUGACCUCACGGAGAUGCAGCCGCUCAGAUAAGGCAAGCAGCGCUGCUGCAGAGGCAGGGUAACAGGGAAGCUUUCCCCUGCUUCUUCCCCCGGUGGGUACCGUGUGCCUUUCCCUUGGCUCUGCCCUCACCUUGGAGCCAGAGCCUCUGAGCCCGUCCCUCGGUACCCACAGCCGCCUUGCCUAGCUGCCUGUGCUGGAAGGGUGUUGCCUAAUGAAAAACACUUCCGAACAGAGGCUUCAAAAUGAAGAUAGAAAAUGGUUGGUAGCUUUCCACGGAAUUAAUAACCUGUAGUUAUUUAAAAAAAACAUCCUUAGAAACAUGUCAUUCAGAACUUUUUAGGGCUGAAGACAUAUCUGGGAAUGUAAUUAUGUUUUCGACAGCAGCCUUUUCAUCCCCGCUCCUGUGAUUGCUCUUUUUCUACAUUAGGAUCUUGUUUUGCUAGCAGAAAAAAAAAAAAAAAAACAAAAAAAACCACGCUGCCAGGGAAUUUUGUUUUCAUACCUCGGUCCUCCCAGCCUGGCUGCCAGCUCGGCCUUCCUGUGCCGACACGUCUGUAUCGUGUUACAACUGUAGCAGCACCAGGAGCGUUCCUGACACCUGAUUUUGGCUUCCCGUGUUUCAGCCCACGGACAAGUUCAUGGAAGCCAGUCCGUCUGUACAGCUGGGAGCCUGGAAUCACAUCUCAAGGUUUUCAUGUGAGUGUCUACCUCAGAGAUGGAUUUUAACGAUUGAAGCAAGCUGCGUUGAUACAGCGUUCUGCUGUUCCUUCCCAUUUCCAUUGCGAGGAGUUGAUUCCCUGGCAGACCUGCCUGGAGCUGGGGGUCAGAACUGAGGCACACUGCUGCCGUCGAUGGCUUUCUUUUUUUAAUGAGCUUUGUCAGAAUUUGUUACUUAGCCACUAAGUGGUGCCAGUGAAGAGUUCAUGCAUGAGCUAAGUUGAAAAUCUGCUAGGCGUGAAUUAGUGAUGAGAGAAAAGCAGGUCAAGGAACGUGUUGUCUCAGAGCACGCUGAGCUUCAAGCUUAGCAAAGGCGAUACUGGUGCACCCAAGGUCUCGAACAGGCAGAAGAAGAAUGUAGACAUCAUGGCAUCGGAUGGCUUUCCUCUGCUGUGCUGGGAUGAGGCACAUCAUCCCUCUUCCUGCAUCAGCAGCAAGUGCAGGUCAUGCCAUGCAGCACAAAUUUAGGGCGUGGGGGGGAAGAAAAAGGAGCUGGAUGGCAUCAUGGGGACGAGAGCGGGUGACAAGACCCACCACGAGAUGGUCCAUCGUGAUCUUGUGUAUCAGUGAUGAGCCCCGCGCCCUGUGAAGAUGCUCUGGGCCAGCCCCAGCACCUUUGCAGACACCAGCGAGGGCUCUGCUUGAAUCGAUGGGAUGGUCAUGGGGUGAGAUGCUGCUAAGAGACAUGCUGGAGCAAGUCCCCAGCAAACCUGUGCAAAGCGUUGGGAUUGGUUGCCCUGGAGAGGCAGGCAGGGUUUUUCCUCAAAUACUGGAAAAAGACAGUUCCUUCACCCGUGACUGCCUGGCAUAACACAACCUGGGAACGGGGCGUGAUGGAAAAAGUAAGCCGUGAAGUACAAAGCCUGCAGCAAAGACAGGAACGUGUAGGUGCGAGGUUUGGGCAUGUGGCUCCCAGCUUGCGGCUGCGUCAGCCGAGAGCAGUUGGCCGGCAGCAAUGCAAGGUUAGCUCGCUCCUCUCUCGGUCAGAAUAAAGGCUUCUGUGUUUCUCUGCCUCGCUUUGCCAGGACGGGAGGAUGCCCACAGCUUCUUCUCUGCAUCAUCUCAGCAUCCCCUCUCUUGUGUGCCCAGAGCCCUUUUUCCUCGGCUGCUCACGGAGUAGGUCGCGCCCCCAGAUCUGGCCAAAACCUCUCAGUGCAGGGUCUGGUGGCUGGCCCCAAGUACCAACAAUGAGCCUUGGGGAAACAGCUGAGGGCAAAUUGGUAACGAAGAGAGAGGGGUGCUUUGCUGGAGAGACCUGCUCAGGGAAAAGGAGGCAUUUGGAAAGCUAAAUAUUUUGUUAAAAAUGUAAACCCAGGAACAUGGUUCCUGGCAUUACAGAAACACGCGUGUGCCUCCAGCUAAUGUCAUGCAAGCUGCCUGUUUUUGUUGCACACUGAUGGGUGCGAAGGAAAUGCUGUGGCUGUCAGAAGGCAAAAACGCUGGUGGAUGUGGCAUGGACAAUAAUGGAAAGCAGAGAGGGGCUGUGAGGAGGUGUCUUGCUGCUGGCACGUUGCACAUCUGAAGCCAGCUAGGUCUUUGUAUUGAUUUUUGUAAAAGCCCUUUCAAUUAUUUUUGCAAUGAGCUCAUCCUUUCUGGCACAUCUCCACUCCCUUGUUCAUUUAACACAGGCAUGGCAGGCUUCGUUGCACCUCUCUUUAGUCGUCCACACGUGAGCUGGGAACAAGCAGCUCCGCUUGCUGUCCUCGGGGAAAAACAGGCACUGUCAGGGUGUCUCGUCUCGGCCACUUUUCGACGCUGUGUGAAGAUGGGUUGAGUGGAGCCCGAGGUGUUUCUAAUCGAGCUGUCAGAUCUUAGCCCAAACCAGGCUGUACUGUGUUCUCCGCACUGGCACAACGAGACUCUCUCGGAAUCUGGUUUUACUUCUGUUUUGGUGCUGGGGGCCGGGUUUCAGGGAUGGGAGGUGGUGCCGGAUGCUUUGGCUUGGCCGUUCGCCUGGGCAGCCUGAUGGCUCCGGGACCAUGGGUUUGCUCGUGGCUGCAGAGUGCCUGCCUGCUGACACCUCCCGAGCUGGCAGUGAAGCCGCUGGAAACAAAGAGCCGAGGAGCUCAAGGACCUGUCCAGGCAAAGCACCUCCUCUGUUUGCUGUAAUAAUAUUGUUUUUCUCAAUUCUACACCCCCAUAAUAAUGUGUCCGGGCCUGUUUGCAUGCUCUGGAUCACUCAGAGGCUGCAGCUGAGGUCUCGUACCCAGAUAUUUCCCGAAUCUUGCCUCUGUCCCAUCCCGUGCACUGCUCUGGAGAAGGUAACAUCGUUCCUCUUUUUCCAUGUUGCUUGUGCACGUGUGAGCUCGGGGAUGCACUCUCUGCAAAACCCCAGACCUGUGUGCUCACAUUCAUCUCUCUCAUGGCUUUCUGCACGUGCAAGGGCUUCUGCUCGGUGCCUUUCUGUUCCCGUGCGGUUGGAUUCAUAAAGCUCAUGUUUUUGUGGCCCCACAGGAAUUUGCAGGCUCAGUGAAAUCGCUCGGGGCUCCCCGCUGAGGCUGGCUGUGUGUUCACCCUCCGGAUCGCUUGGGAACAGAGGCACAGAGAAGAAAAUUGUCCCACAAAGUUGCACGCCUCGCUCGCAGCCUGGGAGCCAAAGCGCAGCUUCUGACUCUGGUGGCAGAAAGGAACACAAAUUAAAAGGUUUCGGGAGAGGAGGAUCACCAUCACAUUUCACAGAAUGGUUGAGGCAGGAUGGGACCUCUGGAGGUCAUCUGAUCCAAGCCCCUGCUCAAGCAGGGCCACCCAGAGCCUUGUCCAGGUGGCUUUUGAAGAUCUCCAUGGGUGGAGACUCCACAACAUCUCCGGGCGGCCUGUGCCAGUGCUCGGUCACCCACACAGAGGUGCUUCCUGGUGCUCCAGUUUGUGCCCAGCACCUCUGGUCCCAGCACUGGCACCAUUGACAAGAGCCUGGCUCCAACCUCUCUGCACCCUCCCUGCAGGUGGAGAUCGGUGCAUCAGCUGCUGAGGAGUCCCUAGGAAACCAAAAACCUUUCCUUCAAGAGCCGACAUCUAAAAAUAUCUCCAAGGACCUCUCUCCUUUACAGGUGUGACCCAAAUCUGUGCACGUCCGUGCUGCAGGGCUGUUGUCUUCACAUGCAGCCUGUAGUCCUUGGGGCUCCAAUUCCAGCUGCCCAGAAAACCUGAGCUUGGGAAAAGCCUAAAUAUUUUGCAUAGAAGAACUUCAGAAAAUGCCCAUCAAACAUCUGAGAAAGGGAUUUGUGAGCAGGCUCUCUGUAGUCCUUUGAAACACUGAUAAAAAGCUCCAUGAGAUGCCUUCAUGGAGGACUUUCCCAAAUACGGUACCGAAAGCUACACUCCACAGUGUACACAUCAUGCUGGAGCUCUCACACGUGCUUAGGCUAUGGAUAAAGGUAUUAAACCCACUGGAAAUGGCAUAAUAAUUGAGAGUAUUUGCUGGUAGAAGAGCGUGGUGUCAUGCAGAAGGGACUCGUGAAGUUGCUGCAAGGGGCAGCUGUCACUGGGAUCCUUUGGCUUUGCUUUUUUUUGGUAGCUCUGUCCCAGUGCGUGUGUGACCAGUACCCACGAUAGGUGCCGAUGGCCGCUGCGUGCAAACGGGGCUGAGCCCUGUGGGAAAGCGUCCUGCCUCCUCCUGCACCUCUUUGUGCAGCACCGGCAUCCGCCUCCCGGCGUGGCCCCUCCGGCCCAAGCUUCGGGAGCGAGAGGAUGUGGCUUUGGGCUGGAGCCAACGCUGGGGACUCGCAGCCAGCCCAGCACGCAGCCUGGCUCCCUCGCAGGCACCUGUGAGACGCGGCAGGCUGGCGGGUUCACCCUACAGCUCUCAGCCUCGCUCAUCCUGGAGAAAUGCAGCGGUUGUUUUUAACGCAGCAUGCCGAAACCGCGAUGGGAGAGCCUCACGUUGGGCAUAACCUGCUGUCCGCGCUCUCGCCGAGCAUCCGCGCACAAGUCGGGCACCAUGGGGCCAACGUGCGGAGCGGACCCGGCCCCAGGUGCCGUGGCCAGCGGUGCGGGGGAAGUGCUGGUCCCGGCCAUCCCCACGGAUCCCAUCCCCGCGGAUCCCAGCGUUUCCGCCUCUGUGUCCCGGGGCCAUGAGGAACAGGAAGCGCGGAGGGUCGUGGGAACCGGCCCCGGCGGCUGCGGCACGGAUCCUGCCUGUGUUCCCCCGCUGAAAUGUGCCCUGCUCCCUGCUCAGCCGUCAUCACAGCAUCCGUACCCGUCUGGUCGCUGUGUGAAGCCAGGCUAAGGGGCGGGUUGUUAGGAACCAGCUGAAAGAUUUCAUGCGCCUUUCAUCAUUUUCCUCUUUUUUUUUUUUUUUUUAAUUAAGUUUAGAGGAUCUUCUGAACACUAAAACCUCCAAAUAUUCCACAGAAUAUUAAAGUGUCACUUUAGGAUCUGCUAGCAUGUUUUUUUAAAGGAAGCUAUUUGCCAAGUCCUGCUUUCAGGUGAUCUAAAAGGCUGAGUUUUGGUGUCUGUCCUCCCCAAAAUCUCUCCUGGGGCCCCCCAUCCUUCCACAAGGGCCCCUGGGGCUGGGGAUACAGCAGUGCUCCUCCCUUCACCCUCUGUGCCCCUAAGCUCCCACUAGUGUCUUUUCUUCCAUUUUAUGGGGUUUAUUUCACCUCCUGCAUGAUCUUCCUGUGGCUGCCUGGGGACAUGGGCAGCAGGAAGCCUCCUGGUCCCGGGGAGGUGACAGCAGGAACUGGGCUGCGUGCGUUCCGGUCUCCAAAACAUUUUCAAACAUUUUAAUGCAAAACCAGAUCCCUCUCCAAACCAGACCCUUGCAGCCCUUUCUGCCUGGCCAAACCCCACUGACCUCCCUGCCUCACCUACAGCACCCUGUGACUUCUGUCCCUGUCUUGCAUCUCCCCGCAGCGGAUUUCCAACGCCUCGCCUUGCUCUCGCCGUCCCGCCUGGCUGAGAGGCGGCAGAGAUUUCCUUCCAGCACGACGGUUGGGGUCACUCUUUCACAACGAGCGUUUUUCUCCCGGCACGACACGCUUAGCAUUGCAUCCCGCUAACAUCCAGCCAGGAUUUCGAGCUCUCAGGACUGCCUUCCCUCGAAAAAGAUCAACAACGUCUUUGAUUUUAAAGAGCACAAGUGUGCAGGAAUAAGCUUUUUCGUGUGGAUUCAGCAGUUUGCUAAAAUAAUGUACAAGCUCCCCGGGUUUCUCUGGGUCUGGAUCCAGCAAGGCAGCUGGGAUCUGUUCACUGCCCGGCCGCUCCAUGCUGCUGCUGCUGGGGUGGCGUUGCCGCGGCUCGCGGUGGCUGCCUCCCCCCGUGGCAUUUGUCACUGUCCCUGCAGCCCCUCCUGGGCACCCCAAAACCUGGAUGGCGGGGUGCUGGCUGCUGCCUCCCCCAGCUCGCCCCUUCCCCAGCUGCUCCCUUCACCCUGCAGUCCCCAAAACACCUCCCUGGUGUCACCAUGGUGGGAGAGGAGCUGGUGGCACCGCGCUGAGCGGCUCGGCCUUAGCACCGACCAGGCUGAUGCCGCAGUCCGCUCCCCGGUGGCCGAGGGGAUGGGGGCGGCAGGUCGGGAGCAUCCUCAGGGGGGGUCCGGCCAUGCUGCCGUCCCGUGUGAAAGCCGCCCCGGGGUAGGCGAGACCACGGGAACUUCCUGACCCUUUGGAGGGGGCGGAGGGGAAGGGGGGAGCGGCCGGCGGUGGGAACCGAUAACACGAGGA